AAGCGCUUGCAAUCAGACUUGCUCUGGGUUGAUCAACGUACCUUCUGGUGCGUGCACUCGGCCCUCCGCAGGCCAGCAUCGGUUCGGACGGCGGGACAAAGACCGCGGGAAUGUGGCUCUCUUCGGGGAGUGUUAUAGCCCGCGGUGCAAUGCCGCCUGCCCGGACCGUGGACCGCGCUUCGGCUAGGAUGCUGGCGUAAUGGUUGUAAGCGA
rnacentral:rRNA from 1 species